GACGAACGCUGGCGGCGUGCCUAAUACAUGCAAGUCGGACGCAGUUGCGAACGGGUGAGUAACGCGUAGGUAACUGCCUAUUAGAGGGGAAUAACUACUGGAAACGAUAGCGAAUACCGCAUACUAGUAGAUGGACGUGCGUUGUAUUGGCUAGUAGGUAGGGUAAUGGCCUAUCUAGGCGACGAUACAUGGCCGACCUUGAAGGGUGGACGGCCACAAUGGGAACGGGGACAGGCCCCGACUCCCACGGGGAGGCGGAGUAGGGGAACUGUGGCAAUGGGGGGAACCCUGACCGAACCCAGGCGGGGGAGUGAAGAAGGGUUUUGGGUCGUAAAGGUCCGUUGUGAAGGAAGCGGUACUUAAACAGAAAGGGACGGCUAACUACGUGCCAGCAGCCGCGGUAAUUC
rnacentral:rRNA from 1 species